rnacentral:rRNA from 1 species
UACAGAGGUCUCAAGCGUUGUUCGGAUUCAUUGGGCGUAAAGGGUGCGUAGGCGGCGCGGUAAGUCGGGUGUGAAAUUUCGAGGCUUAACUUCGAAACUGCAUUCGAUACUGCCGUGCUUGAGGACUGGAGAGGAGACUGGAAUUUACGGUGUAGCGGUGAAAUGCGUAGAUAUCGUAAGGAAGACCAGUGGCGAAGGCGGCAUCCUGGACCGAGAUUGACGCUGAUGCGCGAAAGCCAGGGGAGCAAACGGG